GAUGAACGCUGGCGGCGUGCCUAAUACAUGCAAGUCGAGCGAACAGAUGAGGAGCUUGCUCCUCUGACGUUAGCGGCGGACGGGUGAGUAACACGUGGAUAACCUACCUAUAAGACUGGGAUAACUUCGGGAAACCGGAGCUAAUACCGGAUAAUAUAUUGAACCGCAUGGUUCAAUAGUUAAAGACGGUUUUGCUGUCACUUAUAGAUGGAUCCGCUCCGCAUUAGCUAGUUGGUAAGGUAACGGCUUACCAAGGCAACUAUGCGUAGCCGACCUGAGAGGGUGAUCAGCCACACUGGAACUGAGACACGGUCCAGACUCCUACGGGAGGCAGCAGUAGGGAAUCUUCCGCAAUGGGCGAAAGCCUGACGGAGCAACGCCGCGUGAAUGAUGAAGGUCUUCGGAUCGUAAAAUUCUGUUGUUAGGAAAGAAAAAAUGUGUAAGUAAAUAUGCGCGUCUUGACGGUACCUAAUCAGAAAGCAACGGCUAACUACGUG
rnacentral:rRNA from 1 species